UACGAAGGGGGCUAGCGUUGCUCGGAAUUACUGGGCGUAAAGGGCGCGUAGGCGGCACUGUUAGUCAGGCGUGAAAGUCCUGGGCUUAACCUGGGAACUGCGCUUGAUACGGCAGAGCUAGAGGAUGGAAGAGGGUCGCGGAAUUCCCAGUGUAGAGGUGAAAUUCGUAGAUAUUGGGAAGAACACCGGUGGCGAAGGCGGCGACCUGGUCCGACACUGACGCUGAGGAGCGAAAGCCAGGGGAGCAAACGGG
rnacentral:rRNA from 1 species